GUGUCAGCAGCCGCGGUAAUACGAAGGGUCCAAGCGUUAUCCGGAUUUAUUGGGUUUAAAGGGUGCGUAGGCGGGUUGUUAAGUCAGUGGUGAAAUCUUGCAGCUUAACUGUAAAAUUGCCAUUGAUACUGACGAUCUUGAGUACACUUGAAGUGGGCGGAAUAUGUCAUGUAGAGGUGAAAUUCUUAGAGAUGACAUAGAACACCGAUUGCGAAGGCAGCUCACUAAAUUGUAACUGACGCUGAGGCACGAAAGCGUGGGGAUCAAACAGGAUUAGAAACCCCUGUAGUCC
rnacentral:rRNA from 1 species